rnacentral:rRNA from 1 species
UAGGGAAUUUUGCGCAAUGGGGGAAACCCUGACGCAGCAACGCCGCGUGAUUGAAGAAGCCCUUCGGGGUGUAAAGAUCUGUCAGUGGGGACGAAACUUGACGGUACCCACAGAGGAAGCACCGGCUAACUCCGUGCCAGCAGCCGCGGUAAUACGGAGGGUGCAAGCGUUGUCCGGAAUCAUUGGGCGUAAAGAGUUCGUAGGUGGUUUGUUAAGUUUGGUGUUAAAUGCAGGGGCUCAACUCCUGUUCAGCAUCGGAUACUGGCAGACUUGAAUGCGGUAGAGGUAAAGGGAAUUCCUGGUGUAGCGGUGAAAUGCGUAGAUAUCAGGAGGAACAUCGGUGGCGAAAGCGCUUUACUGGGCCGUAAUUGACACUGAGGAACGAAAGCCAGGGUAGCAAAUGGG